rnacentral:rRNA from 1 species
UACGUAGGGUGCGAGCGUUAAUCGGAAUUACUGGGCGUAACGUGUGCGCAGGCGGUCGAUCAAGUCGCGUGUGAAAGCCCCCGGCUCAACUGGGGAGGGUCACGCGAUACUGAUCGACUCGAAGGCAGGAGAGGGUAGUGGAAUUCCCGGUGUAGUGGUGAAAUGCGUAGAUAUCGGGAGGAACACCAGUGGCGAAGGCGACUACCUGGCCUGUUCUUGACGCUGAGGCGCGAAAGCUAGGGGAGCAAACGGG